ensembl:lncRNA
CUGGACUCCCCGCCUGCCUCUUGCCUGCCGGAUCAGUUUGGAACCUCGAGUGACCAGGGUGGUCCGGGUCGGCCGCGAUCUUUCCUGUACGUUUUCUCACCCUGGAGUCAUGUCGGACCUUGAUGGAGGUGGCAACCGAUGAGACUUUCUGCUUAACGUACAACGGGCCGCGACUUACCCCCGCAGCGGGCACGGCCGCAGGAAGACGUUAACAGCGUGUGGGAGGAAGGCAACGCCUGUUUCGUUAGCAUGUGGAGGCAGUAAAUCAGUAGCGCGUGACGCAAGUACAGGGGAGCUCCAGUCCCCCGGGCACUCCCACUUCCCCCGGCUGUGGUAGACACACACCCAAACCAGAUGGUGAUGGAGGAGGUGAGGGUGGUCUCUGUGAUGGAUGAAUAAUCCCGGAUCACGUUGGAUUGGGAGAUCUAUCAGAAAUCAAGACUCAUCAGACCAGGCAACAUUCUUCCAGUCUUCAACUGUCCAAUUUUGGCAUGGUGUAUGGUAGAUGCCUUGCACAGAGGGAAGAUGGCAGCCGAUGAU